rnacentral:rRNA from 1 species
UACGGGGGGGGCAAGCGUUGUUCGGAAUUACUGGGCGUAAAGGGUUUGUAGGUGGCUUGUUAAGUCAGACGUGAAAUCCCUCAGCUUAACUGGGGAACUGCGUCUGAUACUGGCGAGCUUGAGUGCAGGAGAGGAACGCGGAAUUCCAGGUGUAGCGGUGAAAUGCGUAGAUAUCUGGAGGAACACCGGUGGCGAAGGCGGUCUGCUGGGCAGUUGCUGACACUGAGGCGCGACAGCGUGGGGAGCAAACAGG